rnacentral:rRNA from 1 species
UACGGAGGGGGCUAGCGUUGUUCGGAAUUACUGGGCGUAAAGCGCACGUAGGCGGAUAUUUAAGUCAGGGGUGAAAUCCCGGGGCUCAACCCCGGAACUGCCUUUGAUACUGGGUAUCUGGAGGUCGAGAGAGGCGAGUGGAAUUCCGAGUGUAGAGGUGAAAUUCGUAGAUAUUCGGAGGAACACCAGUGGCGAAGGCGGCUCGCUGGAACGGUACCGACGCUGAGGCGCGAAAGCGUGGGGAGCAAACAGG